rnacentral:lncRNA from 1 species
UCCUUUCUAUUUGAAGAUGUCUAACAUAAACAACGCUACUGCUACCUCAUUCUCGCUAAUGAGCCUGUGUCAAAAGAUGACAUUUGAUGGACCGAACUUUAGCGAAUGGAUAAGAUACAUUCGCAUGAUUGCUCGCUACGAGGACAAAGAUAUGCCCUCGACGAGAAGCUCGAAAAUAUCAAUCCGGAAAUCGCUACUCCCGAAGAAAUGGCUGUCUUUGAGACCCAUGAGCGUGAUGCAAUGAAAUUCCAUUGCAUUAUGCUAGCCACAAUGAAUCCCGAACUCCAAAAGUCCUAUGAGGACAUGUAUCCGUACAAAAUGCAUCAAGACUUGAUGCAGAGAUAUCACCAAAGAGCAAGGCAAGAGCACUAUGAGAUCAUCACGAACAUGAUCACCGCUAAGAUGGGAAGUGGAGAGUCUCUAACCUUGCACUUGCAAAAGAUGCAAAGAUAUGUUGAUUGUCUUCGCAAGUUAAAUGUUAACUUUGGGGAAGAUUUGGCAAUCGACAUCGUUCUUCACUCCUUGCCCUCGUUCUACAACCAAUUUAGGAUGAUGUACCGCAUGAACAAGGAAGAGGUCACCCUAAGUAAACUCCAAGGGCUCCUAAGGACUGUUGAGAGCAACCUCAAGGAUAAGUCUGUUGCAUUAACUCCCACUCCACCCGCUGCUCCUGUUUUCGCUAUUAGGCAAGAGAGGGGCAAGAAGAGGAAGGCUUCUUCAAAGAGUUACUACAAGGGAAAGUCCCAAGAUGGUUCCUCCUCUAGUGGGACCAAAGUUGGUCCUGUCAAGCCCAACUCAAACCCAAAGGAGGCAGAGUGCCACCACUGCUACAAAAUAGGGCAUUAGAAGAGAAGCUGCCCGGAAUAUCUGCAACCCAUCAAGGAUGGGAAGAUCAAGCCAUCUUUCGCAGGUAUUUACACAAUUAAAUCUAAUGAUUCAUCGCAUGCUAUUUCUUGGGUUCUUGAUAUAGGAUGUGGUUAUCACAUAUGUUCUGAUUUGCAGGGACUAAGAAGAAAUAGGGAUGUGGAGCGUGAAAGAAUAAGUCUGAUCAUGGGGAACAAAAGAUCGUCGCCUGUCACCAAGAUUGGAGUGUAUUCUCUAGUGCUUAGUAAUGGAUUAGGUUUAGAUUUAAAUAAUUGUUGCUAUUCGCCAGAUAUGGCAAGAAACAUCAUUUCAUUUCAUGGUUUGUUUAAACAAGGAUUUAGAUAUUCGUUUAAUAAUGAUAAUGGUUCGAUUUGUGCUUAUCUAAAUGGUGAUUUAUAUUUUGAAGCAUUGCCUUGUAAUGGAAUUUAUGAAACCGUCAUGGUUCAAGAUAACCUAGGAAAUCAUGUAUUGUGUAUGAAUUCUUCCAAUAGUAUGGAUAAAGCAUGCUUGUGGCAUUUUCGUCUUGGACAUGUCAACGAGAAGCGCAUAGCCCAGCUCCAAAAGGAUGGAGUGUUGGAGUCGGUCGACCUUAGGGAAGAUGACACGUGCGAGUCUUGUUUUCUUGGAAAGAUGACCAAGUCACCCUUCACUGGCACUUGUGAGAGGGGUGAGGGUUUAUUGGAUCUCAUAUACACCGACGUGUGUGGGCGCUUUAGACCCACCAUAAAGGAUGUGAACCGCUUCUAUGUGACUUUCACCGAUGAUUAUAGUAGAUAUGGGUAUCCACUCUUACCCACCGCUUCCUUGAUUGGUGGAGGGUCGUUAGCCGAACGGGUAGGAUAGGGCAAUCCUCUCUUCAUUAAUAAGUAUAAUGAAUCUAUGUAAAGUAACUAAACGCUUUUACAAAUUCCCAAUCCUAGUUACUUUAGGCAAAAGUGAAAUUGAUGCAAUCCCAUGAAAUUGCACUUUGCACGCUUUCUAAGAAGUUAGUGGAGCGUGUGUGGUUAACCGGCACACUAAUUGGUUCUAAGCAAAGGUGGCAAAGGGUGACUCAUUGUUUGUCAUAGUUCGAUGAAGCGUGUGUGGUUUACCGGCACAUCGAAUAGGUGAUUGUAACAAUUAGGGCACCAUCUAGAUUUGCAUGGUUAUUCACACCCACUUUGUGAUCUUCGGCAUCCCAGUCACAAACGAGAGGGGCAUAUCGAGAUUUAAACAUGCCAUUGAAAAGUUCAAUCAAUCUCUAAGGAAAUUUAAGAAUUCUCAAUACAUUUAAAACUUGAGCAUUAUGUUUUUCAUGGUGAAGAAUUAGUGAAUCGUCAUUCACUUACCUCCAAAUUAUUUGAAUGUUGAAUUACGGCAUCCCUUUUCUAAUGUGUAAAUAAUGUUGUUGGGUCCUAGCCCUAAUUUUCCAUUUUGGGUGUUUAGUUAGGGAUUUAAUUCUAAUCAAACCUUGUUCCUUUCUAUUUGUAGAUGUCUAACGUAAACAACGCUGUUGCUACCUCAUUCUCGCUAAUGAGCAUGUGUCAAAAGAUGACAUUUGAUGGACCGAACUUUAGCGAAUGGAUAAGAUACAUUCGCAUGAUUGCUCGCUACGAGGACAAAGAUAUGCCCUCGACGAGAAGCUCGAAAAUAUCAAUCCGGAAAUCGCUACUCCCGAAGAAAUGGCUGUCUUUGAGACCCAUGAGCGUGAUGCAAUGAAAUUCCAUUGCAUUAUGCUAGCCACAAUGAAUCCCGAACUCCAAAAGUCCUAUGAGGACAUGUAUCCGUACAAAAUGCAUCAAGACUUGAUGCAGAGAUAUCACCAAAGAGCAAGGCAAGAGCACUAUGAGAUCAUCACGAACAUGAUCACCGCUAAGAUGGGAAGUGGAGAGUCUCUAACCUUGCACUUGCAAAAGAUGCAAAGAUAUGUUGAUUGUCUUCGCAAGUUAAAUGUUAACUUUGGGGAAGAUUUGGCAAUCGACAUCGUUCUUCACUCCUUGCCCUCGUUCUACAACCAAUUUAGGAUGAUGUACCGCAUGAACAAGGAAGAGGUCACCCUAAGUAAACUCCAAGGGCUCCUAAGGACUGUUGAGAGCAACCUCAAGGAUAAGUCUGUUGCAUUAACUCCCACUCCACCCGCUGCUCCUGUUUUCGCUAUUGGGCAAGAGAGGGGCAAGAAGAGGAAGGCUUCUUCAAAGAGCCACUACAAGGGAAAGUCCCAAGAUGGUUCCUCCUCUAGUGGGACCAAAGUUGGUCCUGUCAAGCCCAACUCAAACCCAAAGGAGGCAGAGUGCCACCACUGCUACAAAAUAGGGCAUUAGAAGAGAAGCUGCCCGGAAUAUCUGCAACCCAUCAAGGAUGGGAAGAUCAAGCCAUCUUUCGCAGGUAUUUACACAAUUAAAUCUAAUGAUUCAUCGCAUGCUAUUUCUUGGGUUCUUGAUAUAGGAUGUGGUUAUCACAUAUGUUCUGAUUUGCAGGGACUAAGAAGAAAUAGGGAUGUGGAGCGUGAAAGAAUAAGUCUGAUCAUGGGGAACAAAAGAUCGUCGCCUGUCACCAAGAUUGGAGUGUAUUCUCUAGUGCUUAGUAAUGGAUUAGGUUUAGAUUUAAAUAAUUGUUGCUACUCGCCAGAUAUGGCAAGAAACAUCAUUUCAUUUCAUGGUUUGUUUAAACAAGGAUUUAGAUAUUCGUUUAAUAAUGAGAAUGGUUCGAUUUGUGCUUAUCUAAAUGGUGAUUUAUAUUUUGAAGCAUUGCCUUGUAAUGGAAUUUAUGAAACUGUCAUGGUUCAAGAUAACCUAGGAAAUGAUGUAUUGUGUAUGAAUUCUUCCAAUAGUAUGGAUAAAGCAUGCUUGUGGCAUUUUCGUCUUGGACAUGUCAACGAGAAGCGCAUAGCCCAGCUCCAAAAGGAUGGAGUGUUGGAGUCGGUCGACCUUAGGGAAGAUGACACGUGCGAGUCUUGUUUUCUUGGAAAGAUGACCAAGUCACCCUUCACUGGCACUUGUGAGAGGGGUGAGGGUUUAUUGGAUCUCAUAUACACCGACGUGUGUGGGCGCUUUAGACCCACCAUAAAGGAUGUGAACCGCUUCUAUGUGACUUUCACCGAUGAUUAUAGUAGAUAUGGGUAUCCACUCUUACCCACCGCUUCCUUGAUUAGUGGAGGGUCGUUAGCCGAACGGGUAGGAUAGGGCAAUCCUCUCUUCAUUAAUAAGUAUAAUGAAUCUAUGUAAAGUAACUAAUCGCUUUUACAAAUUCCCAAUCCUAGUUACUUUAGGCAAACGUGAAAUUGAUGCAAUCCCAUGAAAUUGCACUUUGCACGCUUUCUAAGAAGUUAGUGGAGCGUGUGUGGUUAACCGGCACACUAAUUGGUUCUAAGCAAAGGUGGCAAAGGGUGACUCAUUGUUUGUCAUAGUUCGAUGAAGCGUGUGUGGUUUACCGGCACAUCGAAUAGGUGAUUGUAACAAUUAGGGCACCAUCUAGAUUUGCAUGGUUAUUCACACCCACUUUGUGAUCCUCGGCAUCCCAGUCACAAACGAGAGGGGCAUAUCGAGAUUUAAACAUGCCAUUGAAAAGUUCAAUCAAUCUCUAAGGAAAUUUAGGAAUUCUCAAUACAUUUAAAACUUGAGCAUUAUGUUUUUCAUGGUGAAGAAUUAGUGAAUCGUCAUUCACUUACCUCCAAAUUAUUUGAAUGUUGAAUUACGGCAUCCCUUUUCUAAUGUGUAAAUAAUGUUGUUGGGUCCUAGCCCUAAUUUUCCAUUUUGGGUGUUUAGUUAGGGAUUUAAUUCUAAUCAAACCUUGUUCCUUUCUAUUUGUAGAUGUCUAACAUAAACAACGCUGCUGCUACCUCAUUCUCGCUAAUGAGCCUGUGUCAAAAGAUGACAUUUGAUGGACCGAACUUUAGCGAAUGGAUAAGAUACAUUCGCAUGAUUGCUCGCUACGAGGACAAAGAUAUGCCCUCGACGAGAAGCUUGAAAAUAUCAAUCCGGAAAUCGCUACUCCCGAAGAAAUGGCUGUCUUUGAGACCCAUGAGCGUGAUGCAAUGAAAUUCCAUUGCAUUAUGCUAGCCACAAUGAAUCCCGAACUCCAAAAGUCCUAUGAGGACAUGUAUCCGUACAAAAUGCAUCAAGACUUGAUGCAGAGAUAUCACCAAAGAGCAAGGCAAGAGAACUAUGAGAUCAUCACGAACAUGAUCACCGCUAAGAUGGGAAGUGGAGUGUCUCGAACCUUGCACUUGCAAACGAUGCAGAGAUAUGUUGAUUGUCUUCGCAAGUUAAAUAUUAACUUUGGGGAAGAUUUGGCAAUCGACAUCGUUCUUCACUCCUUUCCCUCGUUCUACAACCAAUUUAGGAUGAUGUACCGCAUGAACAAGGAAGAGGUCACCCUAAGUAAACUCCAAGGGCUCCUAAUGACUGUUGAGAGCAACCUCAAGGAUAAGCCUGUUGCAUUAACUCCCAGUCCACCCGCUGCUCCUGUUUUCGCUAUUGGGCAAGAGAGAGGCAAGAAGAGGAAGGCUUCUUCAAAGAGGCACUACAAGGGAAAGUCCCAAGAUGGUUCCUCCUCUAGUGGGACCAAAGUUGGUCCUGUCAAGCCCAACUCAAACCCAAAGGAGGAAGAGUGCCACCACUGCUACAAAAUAGGGCAUUAGAAGAGAAGCUGCCCGGAAUAUCUGCAACCCAUCAAGGAUGGGAAGAUCAAGCCAUCUUUCGCAGGUAUUUACACAAUUAAAUCUAAUGAUUCAUCGCAUGCUAUUUCUUGGGUUCUUGAUAUAGGAUGUGGUUAUCACAUAUGUUCUGAUUUGCAGGGACUAAGAAGAAAUAGGGAUGUGGAGCCUGAAAGAAUAAGUCUGAUCAUGGGGAACAAAAGAUCAUCGCCUGUCACCAAGAUUGAAGUGUAUUCUCUAGUGCUUAGUAAUCGAUUAGGUUUAGAUUUAAAUAAUUGUUGCUACUCGCCAGAUAUGGCAAGAAACAUCAUUUCAUUUCAUGGUUUGUUUAAACAAGGAUUUAAAUAUUCGUUUAAUCAUGAGAAUGGUUCGAUUUGUCNUUAUCUAAAUGGUGAUUUAUAUUUUGAAGCAUUGCCUUGUAAUGGAAUUUAUGAAACUGUCAUGGUUCAAGAUAACCUAGGAAAUGAUGUAUUGUGUAUGAAUUCUUCCAAUAGUAUGGAUAAAGCAUGCUUGUGGCAUUGUCGUCUUGGACAUGUCAGCGAGAAGCGCAUAGACCAGCUCCAAAAGGAUGGAGUGUUGGAGUCAGUCGACCUUAGGGAAGAUGACACGUACGCGUCUUCUUUUCUUGGAAAGAUGACCAAGUCACCCUUCACUGGCAC